UCCAUCACUGAAAAGGGGAAGAAAAUUGGUAGUGUUACUCUACUGAAAUUUACUCAAAGCCUUACCAAAAGCUCAUAAUAUUCAAACUAUUCAGAGUUUCUCACUGAAAUUCUGAAAUAGUUGAGUUGAACCUUAACACGGAUAGUAGUCGACGCGUUAAAACAACCGCAUAGUAGAGAAAGGAGAUAUCAGAAGAAAAAAAAGCUGAAGAAAAACGAAGAGGAGACAACGAUAAGAACCGAAAAGAACACUUACUUGAGUAAACGCUGACUACUCGACACAAGUACGAGACGUGCCACAACUACAGUAUGACACUCGAAUAAAUUGAAGCAAAUCAGGUUACAAUGAGAACAGACAUCGGCUCUAUGCAGGAGAAGAUGGAUUGUUUGCUUGAGACUAUGUUACUCUUAGCCCAAAAGGAAAAAGAUGCUUAAACAAAUGUCGAAGCCAGAAGAGUUGUUGCUCAGUUUGGUUCAUCGUCGCUUAGUAUCCUUGGAGUAACUAACCUCAAUGGUAGUCUUUCUCAUCCUAAAGGAUGCCAUAUCCCUAUUCCUAUUCCAGUGGUCAAUGUAGACCCCCCUGAACAUUCUGCCACAUCUGCUCGAGAUGGAUCUAUGAUUGAUGAUGAAGAUCAAUAUGAUGCUUUUUUCAUGCCUCAACCCACAAAACCUAUUGUUGGAAGUCUCCUAGACCCAGCUGUUGAGAGACUCCAUGCUUUGGAGGAGAAAUUCAAGUCCUUAGAGGUUCACACUACUCUCGGCUUGGAUGUUGUUGAAAUGUUCCUGGUGCCAGGUCUGGUGAUUUCACAAAAAUUCAAAGUUCCAGAUUUUGACAAGUACAAAGGGAUUAGUUUCCCUAGAAAUCACCUUAGAGUUUACUGUCGCAAGAUGGUGGCCCACAUUAGUAAUGAUCAAAUCUUGAUUCAUUAUUUCCAAGAUUGCCUCAGUGGGGCAUCCUUGGAAUGGUACAUGCAGCUAGAGAGAGGACAAGUCCAAUCAUGGAGACAUCUCGCUGAAUCUUUUCUUAGGCAUUAUUAAUACAACACUGGCCUGGCGCUCAAUCGCACCCAGCUGCAAAACAUGACUCAACGUAACAACGAGUCAUUCAAGGAAUAUGCCCAACGGUGGAGAGAACUUGUAGCUCGUGUCCAACCUCCUCUCCUUGACAAAGAACUAUUCAAUAUGUUUAUGGGAACUCUUCAUGCCCAAUAUAUGGAGAGAAUGAUAGGGUCCAGUUUCCCAACUUUCUCCGAGGUUGUUUGUGUUGGGGAACAGAUUGAGAGCCAAGUGAAGAAAGGAAAGUUGCCAUGCGCUGCAAUGCUUCAAGUGGAGUGAAGAAAUCAUAUCCUAACCACCCGAAGAAGCUAUAAGGUCAUGCCAAUGCCAUAAUAGGAGGAGGGGGAAAUAUAACACAUCCAUAUGUUCUCGUGCCUUACCAUCAGGCUGCCGCCGUCAUGCCCGCACCAUAUCAACCACCAUAUCAACAAAAAACACUAAAAUCAACAGCAACGUGUUCCAUAACAAUGCCAACCUAACCAGCAGAGAGUAAGGAGGCUAGAAAGACAUUUUGAUCCUUUGCCAGUAUCAUAUAGCCAGAUCCUUCCUUACCUUCUAAAAGGUGGAUCGAUUACAUUGAAAGAGUUGACGCCUGCAAUUCGUCCCUAUCCACCAGGCUAUGAUGCUAAUGCUCAUUGUGAGUAUCAUAUGGGUGCCCCAGGGUACACAGUGGAGAAUUGUAAGGCUUUGAAACACAAAGUUCAAGACCUGAUUGAUAGUAAGGAAAUUUCUUUCACGCCAGUUAGCCCAAAUGUUGCGACAAAUCCCAUGCCGGCGCAUGCGGAGUAGUAAGUGAAUUUCGUUAAAGGGAUUGCCGAAGAUAAACUCCAUACUGGCCUGGACAAGCAGAGCAAUCCCUAACGAAGCUAGUCCGACAGUAAAUCAAGAAAGGAAAGCUCAAUUCCUCAAUGAAGGCAAUCAUUAUGCCAUUUUACCAUUUCAUAUUCUUGUAAUUUGUUCUUGUUUGUCUAAGUACUAUUUGCUUUAAGCAUUGUUAUUUGUAUUUGGUCUUAUUAAUGAAAUGAUUAUGCAUAUUUUAAAUCAA